UUAAAAUCUUCGAAUAAUUCUCAAACUACCGGCGUUCCCGAUGUUAACGAUUCUAAUAGAAACUGUGAUAUUAAGUUGCCGAUUAUUAAAAUUCCAACCUUUACCGGUAAGUACGAGGAGUGGCAAACGUUUUACGAUUUAUUCUAUUCUCUCAUACAUAACAAUGAAGCUUUGUCACCGGUGCAAAAACUCCAUUAUUUAAAAAGUAAUUUAUCGGGUGAACCUGAAACAAUGUUACGUAAUUUUUCCAUAACUGACGCCAAUUAUGAAGAAGCGUGGUGCCAACUUGUGAAGAGAUAUAAUAACAAGAGGUUUAAUUGCAACGCCAUUUUGAAAAUUCUGUUUACACAAAAGAUGAUUACUGCAGAGUCUGCGAGUCAUAUAAAGCAACUUCUAGACACAACGGUUACCUGUUUAAAAGCGUUAUCGAAUAUGGGAAUAGAUACGCGUUCGUGGGAUAUAAUUAUCAACUAUUUAGUCAUUUCAAAACUGGACUCCGAGUCGAUGCGACAGUGGGAACAACAUGUGCGGACGCCGUCAUCAUUCAAUGAUUCAUGU